GGCGGGGAAACAGCGUGGUGGACCGGGCUCAUAACCCGAAGGUCGCAGGUUCAAAUCCUGUCCCCGCUACCA
rnacentral:tRNA from 1 species